GCAAUAACAAUAUACGAUAAAAGAUUCACAGCCAUUGUUAUUAUUGAGAGUAUAUGUGUACACACAUUCAUAACAGAAACAGCAUGUUUUAUAUCAAUAUAAUUAAAGACUAAAUUUUUAUCUUAUGUGUCAAAAUAUUAAUUUAAUUGUGUCCUGCUACAGAUGCCAUAGGACAGAUAGUCUUAAGGUUUAUACUAGAAGUAUUAUUAUCAAUGAUUCAUGUAAAUAAGUAAAGGUAAGAUAAACCCUGCCAGACAGACAUGCACACCUCACAUUGUUCCACUAAGUUGACCUAUUGCUGAAAAUACAAUGUAUCUGACAAAUGAUUGGAACCAUAAAAAGUUAGUGUUGACCAAUGAAUCAAAUAAAUAAGGGCCUGAUAAACACUGAAAGACAUGCAUGUACAACCUACUAACAUUAAAUACACCAUACAUAGUGAACCUACUGCUGAUUGUAUCUGAGAAGAUGGUCCAAUGAACCAAGAAAAUGAGGUGAAGGUCAGAUGAACCUAACAGACAAACAUGUACACCAUACAAUUAUUUUAUAGAUCUAUUGCUUACAGUUUCUGUGAAACAGACCUCAUCAUGAAUACAAAACACUUAUAAACCAAUACACCAUGAAUAUGAAAAAAGGGGUCAAGGUCAGAUGAAACAUGCCAGACACACUUUAACAUCUUACAGCAAUGCACACUUUAAACAUUAAUGUUAUAUAUUGCUUAGAAUAUCUGAGAAAUAAGGCAAUAACUUUUAUACCAUAAAAAAAUUUAACUUUUACAAUUGGAUGGAAGUCAUACACCAAAUACUUUGACUUUUUGCAUAAAGUAUCUGAGGUAUUAACUUAUCUGAGAAAACUCAAACCUUAAAUGCCAUGAUUUCAGGUCAAGGUAAGGAAAACCCUGUCUGAUGGAAAUGAAAACCUUGCAAGGAUUCCAUGUAUCAAAUAUAGCUAUCCUUGUUACAAGUGGGAAAUUCUAAUGACAAAAUGAAUAGAGCUUCUUAAACAGUACCUUAACAAUGAAAAUGUGGUCAAGGACAAAUAACAUACUUUACAAC
rnacentral:lncRNA from 1 species